CUUGGAUCAAUGAUGUUAAUGGAAAACUGCGUUAUCUAUCUGUAAGUUCCUACAUGGAAUUGAUGAGAUCAGUGAUUUCAGAGAUUCAAC